rnacentral:rRNA from 1 species
CAGCCGCCGCGGUAAUACCAGCACCUCGAGUGGUCAGGAGGUUUAUUGGGCCUAAAGCAUCCGUAGCCGGUUGCAUAAGUUUUCGGUUAAAUCUAUGCGCUUAACGUAUAGGCCGCCGAAAAUACUGUGCAGCUAGGGGGUGGGAGAGGUACACGGUACUCGAUAGGAAGGGGUAAAAUCCUUUGAUCUAUUGAUGACCACCUGUGGCGAAGGCGGUGUACCAGAACACGUUCGACGGUGAGGGAUGAAAGCUGGGGGAGCAAACCGGAUUAGAUACCCCCGUAGUCCCUGUCUCUUAUAC